rnacentral:rRNA from 1 species
GACGGGGGGGGCUAGUGUUAUUCGGAAUGACUAGGCGUAAAGGGCGCGUAGGCGGCAAUUCAAGUCAGCUGUGAAAUCUCCGGGCUUAACUCGGAACGGUCAGCUGAUACUGCUUUGCUAGAGUGCAGAAGGGGCAAUCGGAAUUCUUGGUGUAGCGGUGAAAUGCGUAGAUAUCAAGAGGAACACCUGAGGUGAAGACGGGUUGCUGGGCUGACACUGACGCUGAGGCGCGAAAGCUAGGGUAGCAAACGGG